AGAAUCAACGCUGGCGGCGUGCCUAACACAUGCAAGUCGAACGAGAAAGUGGAGCAAUCCAUGAGUAAAGUGGCGCACGGGUGAGUAACACGUGACUAACCUACCUUUUCGUGGGGGAUAACCUAGGGAAACCUGGGCUAAUACCGCAUAAUACCUACGGGUCAAAGCAGCAAUGCGCGAAUAGAGGGGGUCGCGGUCGAUUAGUUAGUUGGCAGGGUAAUGGCCUACCAAGACUGUGAUCGAUAUCCGGCCUGAGAGGGCGCACGGACACACUGGAACUGAAACACGGUCCAGACUCCUACGGGAGGCAGCAGUGGGGAAUUUGCGCAAUGGGGGAAACCCUGACGCAGCAACGCCGCGUGGAGGAUGAAGUCCCUUGGGACGUAAACUCCUUUCGAUCGGGACGAUAAUGACGGUACCGGAAGAAGAAGCCCCGGCUAACUUCGCGCCAGCAGCCGC
rnacentral:rRNA from 1 species